rnacentral:rRNA from 1 species
UACGAACUGUGCGAACGUUAUUCGGAAUCACUGGGCUUACAGGGUGCGUAGGCGGCCUGCUAAGUAGGGUGUGAAAGCCCCCGGCUCAACCGGGGAAUGGCGCCCUAAACUGGCGGGCUGGAGUGAGAUAGGGGUGUGCGGAACUUCCGGUGGAGCGGUGAAAUGUGUUGAUAUCGGAAGGAACGCCGGUGGCGAAAGCGGCACACUGGAUCGCAACUGACGCUGAGGCACGAAAGCCAGGGGAGCAAACGGG